GAUGAACGCUGGCGGCGUGCCUAAUACAUGCAAGUCGAGCGAACGGACGAGAAGCUUGCUUUUCUGAUGUUAGCGGCGGACGGGUGAGUAACACGUGGAUAACCUACCUAUAAGACUGGGAUAACUUCGGGAAACCGGAGCUAAUACCGGAUAAUAUUUUGAACCGCAUGGUUCAAAAGUGAAGGACGGUCUUGCUGUCACUUAUAGAUGGAUCCGCGCUGCAUUAGCUAGUUGGUAAGGUAACGGCUUACCAAGGCAACGAUGCAUAGCCGACCUGAGAGGGUGAUCGGCCACACUGGAACUGAGACACGGUCCAGACUCCUACGGGAGGCAGCAGUAGGGAAUCUUGCGCAAUGGGCGAAAGCCUGACGGAGCAACACCGCGUGAGUGAUGAAGGUCUUCGGGUCGUAAAACUCUGUUAUUAGGGAAGAACAUAUGUGUAAGUAACUGUGCACAUCUUGACGGUACCUAAUCAGAAAGCCACGGCUAACUACGUG
rnacentral:rRNA from 1 species